rnacentral:rRNA from 1 species
CCUACGGGUGGCUGCAGUGAGGAAUAUUGGUCAAUGGGCGCGAGCCUGAACCAGCCAAGUAGCGUGAAGGAUGACUGCCCUACGGGUUGUAAACUUCGUUUAUAAAGGAAUAAAGUGAGGCCCGUGUGCCUUUUUGUAUGUACUUUAUGAAUAGGGAUCGGCUAACUCCGUGCCAGCAGCCGUGGUAAUACGGAGGAUCCGAGCGUUUUCCGGAUUUAUUGGGUUUAAAGGGAGCGUAGAUGGGUUGUUAAGUCAGUUGUGAAAGGUUGCGGCUCAACCGUAAAAUUGCAAUUGAUACUGGCAGUCUUGAGUACAGUUGAGGUAGGCGGAAUUCGUGGUGUAGCGGUGAAAUGCUUAGAUAUCACGAAGAACUCCGAUUGCGAAGGCAGCUUACUAAACUGCCACUGACAUUGAUGCUCGAAAGUGUGGGUAUCAAACAGGAGUAGAUACCCUUGUAGUC